UCAUGCUUGUAAGGUGUUUCCAUAGUGUGAAUGUUGGUCGAUAAGGCUAUUUUUAGCAUACCGGUUUGGUCAGUCAGAGUAGUGGCUGUUUGUCAAGCGUGCGGCCACGUUUUCAUGCUGUCCAGCAGGGGUCUUUUCUUGGCGAAUUCCAGAAGUUAGUAUGGGUAAUGGGUAGCCAGAGAGACAAACAUUUUACUGUGUGGGCAUAGGUUUUCUCCAGCCGUGCAGAGGGGAUUUAAGAAGCUAUCUGGGCCAUAUCAGUCAGUACUCUCAGCAUUUCAGUAGGUGCUCGGCGUGGGAAUCAGAACACGUGAGACAGUGCUGUAUGUACAUGGGUGUUCCACGUGGUGGACUUGGCAAUUAUUUUGUGAGCCUAGUGUUGCCAUUGGUUUGAAGUCGGCGUUACCCAGUAUCGUUGUUCAGUGAGAGACCUGUGAGUCCGGGACUGGAAGCGGAGGGGCUGUUCGAGCUGUAUGGAGGCCUGGUUGUGCCAAGUGUGACGUGGCGUUAAAUUGAAUUGUGCUGAGUAGCCAAACUUUCAUAUUGUGUUUCAGUAAACUAACAUUUUAUCAAAAAGGAAUUUGAGAAAUUUGUAUAAAACGUAAUUUACUACUGUUUAACUUUUUCUGUAGUUAGCGGAAUUAGCGACUAUUCGAACCAUUAUGUAAUACAUUUAUUACCAGUUAUAUUUUCAGCCUGGAAUGACAUACUUGUUCUAUUAACUAUUGAAUUGUCUUGACAGUUAUACGUUAUAUUGAUUGUCAAUAUUGCCAGGUUUAUAUUAUACCA